GUGCACAUUUAAUGAAAAGUUACAAAGUGAAUACACAUUCUUAAAAAAAUGUCAAAAACCAGGACAAGAAUAUAAAAUUGAAUGUAUUGUGUGUGGAGCAGCAUUCAGCAUUGAACAUGGUGGUAAGUCGGAUAUUACACAACAUUUAAAAUCGGAACGACAUAAUAUAGCUGCUAGAGCGUCUAAAUCUCAAAAAUUGUCAAAUUUUUUUCUCCGAAAACACAAUUUGCUGAUAAAGAACAAAAAUUAGCUGCAGACGAAGGAAUUUUUGCUUAUCAUACUUGUAAACACAGUCAAAGUCUCAAUUCUAUGGAUUGUACUUCUCAGUUAGUUCGUAAAUUAUAUUAGAAAAAAUUUACUUGUGAUAGAACCAAAACAAAAUCUAUCAUCACUAAUGUAUUUUUACCCUAUGCUGUUAAUGUUUUAAAAAAAUGAUUUACUCAAGUGCAAUUUUGUAUCAAUUAUGACUGAUGCAUCUAAUCAUAAUUCUCAAAAAAUGAUACCGAUUCUUGUUCGCUAUUUUAUAUGGAGGUGUCCGUUAAGGGAGAUUUCACUGUAUUUGAAAUAUACAUUUUUUUAGUCCCGUAUUUUGAAUUUUGAAAUCUGGUAACCCUACAUUAAAGUAAGAUGUGUUGACAGUCCAGUAUUCUGCGUUCCACCGUUCGCCAGUUGCCGACCAUUUAGCUAAGGGGGUACGGAGCAGAGACCAUUAUCACUAUUACUGUUAUGAUUGUCGUUUCAAAAUAAUAUUGGUAAGUACAUUUUAAUAUAAUAUAUGUAUUAAAAUUGUCCUUUUCACAUUUGUUAUGUACAGUUUCGUUUUAUUUAUACGUGGUCAAUUCAUAAAAUGUAGUACCUACCUAGUUAGUAAUUAAGGUAUGGCGGGGUAUGUGUGACCACUUUUAUUUUUUUAAAAUACCAUUACCAUUAAAUGGACUGUAUUAUUUGUCAGACAUUAGAUAUGUGAACAUUUCCACUUAAAAGUGUCAAUAAAUUACAAUUUAACCCAUGAUUAGCCCCAAUUUUAAAAAAAAAAAAUCUAGAGGGUCACACAUUACCAUUAUUUUAGGAAACUGUGAAUCUGCACAUAAAAGUAUGUUAUUGAAUAUAUUAAAACUUUUUGGGGCAAGUGAUGGGAUAAUCUACGCGUUUUAAGAAUUUAUUUGAUACAAAAAUGAAAAAAAUUGAACCACUAGUUCAAAAAGUUAUGAACUUUAAAAAAAAAAAAAUAUUAAUUAUAGUUUUCCAGAUUUCAUCCCUAAAGCCUAUAACAUCAAUAGGUAUAAUAUAAUCAUAUAGGCCAUAUAAGAUUCUCAGUUAACACUUUCCCCAUAUCUAUUUACACUCGUAUAGGUAUAAUACCCCAAUACAAUUAAUGAAGGUGUACGAGUGAAAUCGUAAUUAAACAAACAUAAUAUACAAUUAUGUUAUUUAAUUAUUAAAUUGUUAAAAUAUGGGAUAUAUUUAAAGAAAUUACUCGUUUGGUUCACUCAAAUCGGAUGAAAUUAAAUGUACCUAUUAGACGACGUACCAAACGGUACCGAAUUUUUAUAUGUAGGUAAGUUUUAUCACGCUACUUUACGCGGGACUUGAUAACACAAUAUAUAAAUAAUUUGACAAACGCACACAUUUUAGCGGCUCCAACGGCACAAUAUGACGCGUCGAUUUAAUGUCGUCUGGUGUAAUAAUUAUGAAUUAUGAAUUUUACCACUUUCUUUUCAUCUAGCAGUCGCACUUACCCCACCUUACCUUAGUAAAAAAAGUUUCUCCUGUAUUGUUUAAUGUUUCAAGUUCAACAUCAACCAACUAGAUAUUGUAUUUUACUUACCUAUGUUAAAUGUUAAGUAUAUUUUAUUUGUUGGUACAAUAGGUACUCUAAAUAUUUAAUACGACGCUUCCCGAAACUACAUUGGUCACUGAACACUGCAGUGAUUCAGUGGCGCAACCUGGGUUUUUCAAGGGGGAUAAAAUAACUUAAGAAAUUAAAUAAAACAAUUUUAAGUUGGUAUAUUAUAAAAGUGCUUAUAUAUAGGGAGGGGGGGCUGUUUUUCCUCCCUGGUUGCGUUAUUAUCGUGUGAUUAUGUUUACCCUAACAAUUUAGUACUCUCUGGAAAACAAUCCUGGUGAACAGUAUUCAAUCGAAUAAUAAUUAUACCUAGAUUAGUUCUACCUUCGACCGUGGUUCUAUAUUUUGAUAUUUAGGUAAGCGUCUAUUAAAAUUCAACUCAUAGAUUCACCUUAAAGAAAUGGGGCAAAUUUUUAGAAAAAUAUAGCGUAUGUACAGUUUUUAUCCAAUUUCUAAUAAUGAUGGUAGGUACCUACCUACUAUAUAGUAUUGAUUUUAGAAUUGAAGUCUAACUAAGCGGGGUACGAUGGUUAAACAGCAAAUUAUUCUCAGAUAGUUUGCCAUUUUGCCGACCGAUACCUACUAUGAUAGCGUUGUUUUUAUAACCGAGCGAAUGGCGGGUUUAAAUGCUAUCAUGUAUAGUGUGGGUAGGUUACGUAUUUAUUCGUACGGCAAGUGUAUGGCGGUAUCGCUAAUAAAUAAUUAUCAUGUUAGAUAACGGUAGAGCUGUAGGUGGGUAAUAAUUGUUGUAACUCGUCUCUCGUCACACUCGUUUUGUAUUUAUAGCCAAUUGGCUAUAAUAUUAUAAUAUACGAGUAUAAAUAUAUAGUGUUCCAAAAAUAGAUAGAUCAUUAAACGCCACUGUAUUUUUCGAGUGCGUCCAGCGGUGUGUAUACCCUCGGGCCCACCCGUGAGAUUUUUAUACGCUCGUUCGAUGUCCGAUCGUUUCGUCGAUGUCUGCGUUUAUUAUACGCGGUCGGACCCUGCAGACUAUUGGAACGCGUUAUUAUACAACCGAUGUUGCACUACGCCAACUCUCCUCUUACUCAAACUUAAAAGCGGAAUAUCUCGUUAAUACGUUGACGGAAAUUAAAAAUCUAUUUGAAUCAAAGUUGUAUCUAGGUGUAGAAUUUUUAAUGCGGGUUGCUAUUUGAAAAUCAAAAGUUACUAAUAGUGGUUUCGACCACAGAAAGAAGGACGACAAAAAACAACGGUACGUAACAUUUUAUAGAGCUGAUUGUGUUUCGUAUACAUUUUCGAAAAAAUUAAUACUUUCCUGGAUAAUGCGUGUCUCAUCGAGGAUUGAUCACUAUAUAUUAGUUUACCUACUCGCCACAAAUAAUAACCGAGUGUACUUAUAAACGCUCGCAGUACCCCCACAGAAAAGAAAUCCGAAACCCCUCAGGUGAUGGGCCGGGAUAGCGCGGCCGGGUGUCGGUUUCUGUCGUCGUCAGCUGCACAAGACUUGACCGUAUAAUAUUGUAAAACGCGUCCUACAUAAUAAUAUGAUAAUCGGAUCCUCGAACCGAAUCGAUAAUCCGGACGUCUGGCGAUCGAUUUGCGGAAGAAAAGAAAAAGACGGAAGGGCGUGUCCGGCCAGCUAAGAAAAUCCGCCACGGGAGACGCUUGAUCCGUGCACCGGGAAACGAUUUCUACUACGUACAACAAAGGACCUCCAUCGUUUCCAAAAAAUCUAUUUCUACCUAUUUUAUCGGUGCAAACGAAUUGCGUCCCAAGAUCCCUUUUUUCAUACGAAUUGCGUCCCGAUAAUAUUUAACAACUACACUAAUUGCGUCCCGAUAAUAUUUAACAGCUGUACUAAUUGCGUCCGAUGUAAAUGCAUUAUUUUCCUUCCCAUUUAGUACAGAUUUAGGACUGUCAAUAGCGACAUUAAAUAAAUAUUAUAUUGCUAAAGGUAAGUUAAAAAUAUUGUUUUUUAUCGUUUCGUAAUUAUGUACAUCAAAACUAUUGUUUUCGUCGUUAAAUAUAAAAAUAAAAGAAUAAGUAAAAAAAUAUUAAAAAAUACAAAUUAUAUAUAUGUUAUUAUACUAUUAUUUAUGACUCGGUGACAAUUUGAACGAUACGGUUUUGACAAAAUCAAAACGUGUUAUUUCGUUCACGUCGUAUUUAAUCAUUUCUUUUCUUAAAAAUUUUCGUUUUUCACAUAUUUCAUGUCUUAUUUUCUUUAUUCGACUACUACUGCGAAUUUGUAUGUAAUUAUCUUUUUGUACGUUUUUAAGUACAUCAAUAAAUUUGUAAAUAUUUGGAUGAGCAGAAUAAAACAUAUCGUUAAAUUUUGAAUGGAAAGUUUCACAGCUAUUUGUUGUCCGUGUAAUUGAACUUGAAUACAUUGCCCAUAAAAAAGGAGGAAAUUCACAAUCGGGGGUUAUAUAUGUAUUUAAAAUAUAAUCUGUAAAUGUUUCUAUUUGUUUAUUUUGUGAUAAAAUUGAUACUAUAUCAUCGGUAAACAGUUUUUUACAUCUUCAGGUUUCAAAAAAGGGAGACCAAAAAAUAUUUUUAGAUGAUAACUUAUUCCUAAAUUUAGCUUAUAUUUAUUACUCAAACCUAGAGCUUGAAUUUUUAACCAUCAACUCUGGCCUAAAUGGAAUCAGCAUCCUUUUGUAUCGAUAGAUGGCCAAACAAAUAAUACUGCCGAGUGAAUUGCUUUUUCAAAAUCAGCAAAUCACAUUUUUGGUAAAAAAUAGAUAUUAUUUUUUAUACAUUCUGACAUUUAGAUGAAGAAAUAUGAGUUUCUACAUUUUUGUCAAUUAAUAAAAAUAAAAACUAAUGGUGAGUAAUUUCCAUUUGAUAAACUGUGAAUUGUGAAAAAUCGUGUAAAUAACUGAGGACCACUUUUAAAAGUUCAAUCAACAAAUAUUGUGUCAACUUGACUUAAGAACUUUAAAUUAGUUAUUGUUUGAAAAAACUAAUAUAUUAUUUUCAUAGUCGUUAACUAAUAGAAACUUUUCAUCUUGGUUACUUUUGUUUUCUUUCAAUAAAUUAUGUAAAUUCUAAUAUAUUAUUUGGCAGCUUGGGAAUUACAGAUGUUCGACCGUGGUGCAUAUUUUUACAAAUUAAAGUUAAAUCAUAACUGGUUAAUGUCGAUACGUCAUUUGACAAUUCCCUAUGAAUGAGUUUUGAGGGAUUAUCAUAGAGAUCGUCUAUUGCCUUUCGUUUUAAAUUAUUGCUUAAUUUUUGUCUGUGUAAUAUUUCUACAGAAUCGCUUUCAUGGUUAUGUUCAGUAGGACGUUCCAAUAUUUCAUUUUUAUCAUUUAAUUUAGCAUGUGAUUUACAUGUUUUCUUGCAACACUUUCAACGUUGUAUAUCAUUUUUCAAUAGUUUUUGAAAAACAAAAUUUAAAAUCGUUUACAAAAAUCAAUGUUUUAUUUUUUUCAUUAACCAUAACCUCACUCACAGUUAAACUCGUAUUUUUUAAAAGAAAUAGAACAGCGCGAAAUUGUCAACGAGACGGAAUCGAAAGACAUAACAACCGAUUACAUUUAUUUCAUAAAUACUCAUAUAAUCAUAUCAAUUAUUGGUUGAGAUUAUCAAAGGUAUAACAGAUAAUCGGGACGCAAAUAGUAUAGUCGUAUAGAAAACCCGGGACGCAAUAAGUAUGUCACAAAUCGCAAUUUUUAUAUCGGAGACGCAAUUCGUAUGCAGUUUAUAUUAUAUACCAAUUCCGUCCCGGAUAAAAAAAGCGUAUAUACCAAUUCCGUUUCUAUAGUGAACAGACGGUCAACUAAAAAUUUACAAUAUUACUAGGUGUAUGAGUAUAAUAAAAAAUAAUAAAUCCAGACACGCAGCCGCACAAAUAAUGACUGGAAAGUUAUAUAGUUAUAUAAGUUAAAUAGUAUUAUCUUUAUUUCUAAAUAAUGCAGUAAUAUUAAAUUCGAUUAUUUAGUACGAUAAUUGACUGACAUAUUAUCUUUAUUUCUAAAUAUCAUAAAAUUGUUAUUCUAGUCGUAAAUUUUAUACUGUAAUAUAAUAUAGGUAGUGUAGAAAAUGUAAAAAGGGACGGAACUCGUAUAACUAAAUAAAUUACUUGGGACGGAAUUAAUAGGUAUAUCCGCUUUAAAAACACAGGACGGAACCAGAAUACUCUUAAAUUCAAUUUUUUUUUCCCGGAAAUCUUUUUUUGAUCAUCAAAUCGAUGCCAUUUUUCUUUUUAUGAAACCGGAGUUAUAGUUCGUAUACUAUUAUAAAAUUUUAUUAGUAUUAUAAUUAUUAAACUGUUCGGGAUUUGGUCGUUAUAUUAUACAUUUAAUUUGCAUGUAUCUAUAGGUUUUUUUUUUUUAAAUUCUCUGUUUCACGAUAGCAUUAUAUGUGUACUGCGUUAUAUUUGUAUACGACUGUUUAAUAUAGAUACGACUAACAUUAACAAAUAAAUGCUCAGUGGAACGGUUCGUUUUGCGAACGGACGUUGGAAUGAAUGUGGGUAGCGUUUGUUUUUCUUUUCUUUUUUUUCUUUUUUUUUUUUUGAGGUCAUUUGAAUUAUUUACAUUCCAAUUAAAUGUUAGGUGCGUGAUGCGCACAACAUAAUAUUGUAUAUUAUAAUUCAUAUUAUAUACGUACAUAUAUCGCCGCUGAUGGUCGAUGAGCAAACACACCCGUUAUGUCACAAUAUAUUAUUAUUUAGACCGUUUUAGGUGCCGUAUACGAGUUGCAUAACACUACUUUAUUCGCGUUUAACUGACGUAAAGAACCCAGUAGCUACCGGCCGCGUAAUAUUAUAAUAAUACGCGUAUAAUAUUUGAAAUAAUAAUUUCGUGGCCGUUCUUCGAUCGUCGAACGUUUUGUUAACGAAAUAGUUUAUUUUCUAUUGUUUACGUUCUUAUCACCGUAGAGACGUUCUCAGGAUUUUUUAUCGGGGGGGGGGGGGGGAUAUUUAAAUGUAUUAAAAGGCGAGCCGUGGGGGCCAUGCCCUCACACCUCUUUUUUUUUUUUUACAUAAAAACAACGUACAUUAAAUUACAACAAUAUUAUAUUUUUAUACAUCACUACUUGUAGGAGGAACCAAUUUUUGAAAAAAAAUUUAAUAUACUUGAAUUACUUCGUUUCAUUUUCAAAAAUAAAAAUACAAGUCAGUCGUCACUCGUCAAUAUACACUGUAUAAAUCGCUAAAAACGAUUGAUAAACACAAAUAUGUUAACACUUGUAUAAUCGAUGGUAUCGUGCGACUAAUUUAUUGUUUACAUCAAUAUAAUAUGAGAUUACGGAUAUUAUAGAUAUUAAUCUGUAAUCGUGGUCUGUAAUCUGUUAUUGUAUACCAAUUGCAUAUUCGCAUGGAAAAUGAUAACGAGUCGAAAAAAAAUGUAUUUAUUUAAUUUUCAUUAAAAUAUUAAAUAUCACUUAUCAGUUAAUCAUGAAAAUCCAUCUAACCUAAAAAAAAGGCCAUUGGGGGUUCUCCUUCCUUCUUGAGAACGUCCAUGUAUUACCGUUUCCUCCAGUAGUGAGAUUCGGUGGGAGAGCGAGAAGGUGCAAUUGCAUCCGCGAAGAUUUUCCCAGGGAGACCCCCAACAAAAAUUAUCAUUUGGCAUCCGCAGGCAACAGACAAAAAUAUCGUAAUAAAGAGUUUGAAAGUAAAAUAUAAUACCUAUAAUAUUGUUUGUUAAUUAUUUUCAAAAUUUACUCUCUGCGAUUGCGUAUUAGCCUUUAUUAUUUUUGUGUUGUUUGUGUAUUAUAUUUGUGUAUCUAGUAUCGUAUUAUUAUUAUUGCUCUAUAAUAAAACCUAUUAAUAGGCGUCUAUAUAGUUAUAAUGCAUGGAGAGAAAAACAAAUGAAGAAGUACUAAGAGUUGUAAAGGAAAAUCGGACAUUCAUAGAUACGAAAAAAACACCACAAUGGAAAAUAAUUGGACAUGCCUCGAGACACCCAGAAGAACUGCAUAUUAUAAUCAUAGAGGGUAUGAUAGAGGAAAAGAAAACAACAGGACGCCCUUGAAACUUUUAUAUAGGACAAAAUAAAAAGAUGAUGCAAGGGUAAAAACAUUUAGAGAAGUCAGGGAAAAAGCGAGCAAUCGAUUAGAAUGGAGAAUUGAAUUCGGUAUUUAUAGUAAAAUAAAUGAGUUGAUGAAAAGUGCUUGGAAAAUCAAAAAAUGACUUACUCCAUGAGCAAUUAGAUCCAAAAUGCAACAAGAUUAGCAAUAUUAAAACAAUAUUUCUAGUAUAAAAUAGGAUUCGAAAAAAAUUUCUGUUUUACCUAAACAUUUUUUCCCAGUUAUUUUGAAAACCCUUUGGAAAAUCGAAUACAAUAAUAAUAUUUACCUAUACAUAGGUAUUUAAUCGAAAGACAUGAAUCGAUUAACUCUGAUUUUUAUCGAACAAAACUUUUUGAAUAAGGAAAGUUUUAGAAUCAGAAAAUUCAUAACGCAUUACGUAAAAUCGAUUGUAAGAGUUAUACAAUUUUCACUGUAGUGGAGAAAGAGAGUGAUUUCAUUAGCUUACGUCAACUCAUUUCUACGAUAGUAAAGUUUUUAUAACGCUUUUAUAAGUCUUUAUAAGUAUAAUAAUACGUAUGUUGCGUCGGUUAUAUUUAACCAGAAUAUUAUUUCAAUGAAUUUUUCAAUAUUUGAAUCCUUAUUUAGGAUUUUAUCUAAGAGAGAGAUAUUAAAUUUGGAAAUAGUGUCACAUUGUGUAGCGUGCACCCAAGCUUAAAAAAAGGAAACAUUUUUAAUUUAUAUAAUUUUAUAAGUAAUAUAUUAUCCAAUCUGCCCUAAAAUUAUCAUUGAAAUCAUACACCUAACUAUAGGUUUAGGCAAGUAAUUAUUUAAUUUAUUUAUUAUUUGGGUACCUACUAAUUAAACCUUCAUGAUUUAACUUUCGGAUAAGUUUCGUUUUUAACAAGAAAAUUUAUACAUUCAGGUUUUUUUGAUGUAUUAAAUAUAUGUACCAACACAAUUAAAUUGUUGAUUUUUUUUUGACUUUAAGACAAAGAUGUUUCAAUUUAAAAAUAUCUGGGCUUAACUAUAUAAAUAAUAGAUACUGAAAAAAUCAAUAGAAGUGAUUUAUAUCCCUAAUUUUUCUCGUAAAUACACUACUGAUUUAAAUAAAAGUGGAAUUUAUAAACCUAUAUUUAUUGUGGUUCGUUUUGCAUAAUAUUUUGAUACAAUUUGUUUAUAUCCAGUCAGUUUAUCUACUAGUUUUAGUCGUCUUGCAGAUUGUGAAUGUCAGAAGUUAUUCAAACAUUUUCUUCCGGUUUCGCUACUGCAGUUGAAAAUAAAACGUAUUCGUUUAUAUUUAGUUAAGUAUACACAUGAGUUAUGUGUAAAUUUACAUGUCUUUAAGGAAAUAUUAACUGUGGGAUAGCUGUCCUCUGCCUCCCCCUCCGCUUCUCCACCGUUCUUUCUAGCUAGGUCUACCUUUGUAGGUUUGCACGUACACCGAAUGACAUUAGUGUUUAAAAUAUAAUUGCAGUAUUUCGGAGGGUGUUUAUGAUGUGCAAUGGGACGCGCGUUAGAAAAACGAGUGAAUAAUGACGAGGAACGGGAAAAAAGUAAAUUUUUACGUAAUUUGGAAACCCGAGUCAUUAUAGUACCCAUAAUAAUAAUGUAUUAAUAAUACAUUUAUCUCGGGAGCACGUUCGUGAUGCUGUUGCAUACAAAGACGUGCGUGUUUAUUGGAUUUUGUGCGUUAACGACGUACCUAUUAUUAUUACCUAUUUCACGUGCGUGUGUUUUGCAAAGCUAUUGCUGCAGCUGGUAUACAAGGUGAUUAUUUCAUCAUAGACCAGCGAUUAUCUACAUUAAUUGUUAGUAAAUUUGAUUUCGAUUUUUACCAGGCAUUAUAUUAGAGAAUCGUUUAUAAAUAUCUUAUUUACAUAUCAAAAUAUUUACCGAAAUAACACGCCUUUUUCUAAUACACGUUAUUUUUCUUCGUCGGCUUAGUAUAAACCACCCUUCGCAAGAAUCAUCACUCUUCUCCUCUAUAUUUAUUAUCAGCAUCCAAUUUUUCUCCAUUGUUUAUUCUCAGUAAGUUUAGUACUCUGUUAGGUUAUCUCAUCUUUUUCUUGGGCGACCUAGUGCAGUCUCUUACACAUACACAUAGCUAAAAUAAGUAAAUUUAGGUAAUUUUAAUAUGAGAAGAACCCAUCGGAAAAUUUCUUGUAUUUGGAUGGGCCUGCAGAAAUACGCACUUACGGCUAAAUGUAUAUUAUACGGUAUCCGGAAUAUCGCUAAAAUUUUGAAAUAAUACUAUAAAUUAGAUAAUUUGAAACAAUUCUGUAAUAUUGUUAUAAUAAUAAUUGAAAAAAAAAAAUCAAAUUUACUUAUCUUUGUAGAUCUAAUAUUUUUUUCAGGUUCGUGAUGAAAAUAAGGUUGAUACUGCUGAUGGGUAUUGGGCGUGCAACUGUUUUAGGAAGAAAACUGGG